rnacentral:rRNA from 1 species
AGAGUUUGAUCCUGGCUCAGAACGAACGUUGGCGAGAUGUUUUAAGCAUGCAAGUCGAGCGGUAGAUGGUGCUUGCACCAUUGAGAGCGGCGAACGGGUGAGUAACACGUAGGUUAUCUGCCCUGUAGACUGGGAUAGCCACUGGAAACAGUGAUUAAUACCGGAUAUUGUCGAAAGAUGAAAGGUGCGUUUGCACCACUACAGGAUGAGCCUGCAUUCUAUUAGUUUGUUGGUGGGGUAAUGGCCUACCAAGACUAUGAUAGAUAGCCGGCCUGAGAGGGUGUACGGCCACAUUGGGACUGAGAUACGGCCCAGACUCCUACGGGAGGCAGCAGCUAAGAAUAUUCCGCAAUGGGCGAAAGCCUGACGGAGCAAUCUCGCGUGAAUGAUUGAAGGCCUUCGGGUUGUAAAGUUCUUUCAGCAGGGAAGAAUCAUCAUCUGGGAAAUACAGGUGAGAUGACUGUACCUGCAGAAGAAGCACCGGCUAAUUACGUGCCAGCAGCCGCGGUAAUACGUAGGGUGCUAACGUUGUUCGGAAUCACUGGGCAUAAAGAGUACGUAGGCUGUCAAUUAAGUUAGUGGUGAAAUCCUGAGGCUCAACCUCAGGCCUGCCAAUAAUACUGAUUGACUAGAGUUAUUGAUAGAGGUAGUAGGAAUUUCUAGUGUAGGAGUGAAAUCUGUAGAUAUUAGAAAGAACACCAAUGGCGAAGGCAAACUGCUGGGUAAUAACUGACACUGAGGUACGAAAGCUAGGGUAGCGAAUGGGAUUAGAGACCCCAGUAGUCCUAGCCGUAAACGUUGCAUACUUGUUUUAUGGAUUCUUGUAAUUUAUGAAACGUAGCUAAUGCGCUAAGUAUGCCGCCUGGGGAGUAUGCACGCAAGUGUGAAACUCAAAGGAAUUGACGGGGGCUCGCACAAGCGGUGGAGCAUGUGGUUUAAUUCGAUGAUACGCGAAAAACCUUACCUAGGCUUGAACGUGUAGUGACCGUCGGUGAAAGCCGAUUUUCUCUUCGGAGACACUAUGCGAGGUGCUGCAUGGCUGUCGUCAGCUCGUGUUGUGAAAUGUUGGGUUAAGUCCCGCAACGAGCGCAACCCUUAUCCUAUGUUGCUAAACAAGAUUCGUCUUGAAGGACUCAUAGGAGACUGCCCUGGUUAACGGGGAGGAAGGUGGGGAUGACGUCAAGUCCUCAUGGCCCUUAUGUCUAGGGCUACACACGUGCCACAAUGGGGAGUACAAAGGGAAGCAAGAUUGCGAAAUCAAGCAAAUCCCAAAAAAACUCUUCCUAGUUCGGAUUGCAGUCUGAAACUCGACUGCAUGAAGCUGGAAUCGCUAGUAAUCACAGAUCAGCAUGCUGUGGUGAAUACGUUCUCGAGCCUUGUACACACCGCCCGUCACACCACCCGAGUUGGAAAUACCCGUAGUCGUUGUACUAACCGUAAGGAAGAAGGCGCCGAAGGUGUUCCCGGUGAGGAGGGUGAAGUCGUAACAAGGCG